UCUCGGGUUACCGAAUUCAGACAAACUCCGAAUGCCAAUUAAUUUAACUUGGGAGUCAGAACAUGGGUGAUAAGGUCCGUGUUCGAAAGGGAAACAGCCCAGACCACCAGCUAAGGUCCCAAAAUAUAUGUUAAGUGGAAAAGGAUGUGGCGUUGCCCAGACAACUAGGAUGUUGGCUUAGAAGCAGCCAUCAUUUAAAGAGUGCGUAAUAGCUCACUAGUCGAGUGACACUGCGCCGAAAAUGUACCGGGGCUAAACAUAUUACCGAAGCUGUGGAUUGUCCUUUGGACAAUGGUAGGAGAGCGUUCUAAGGGCGUUGAAGCAUGAUCGUAAGGACAUGUGGAGCGCUUAGAAGUGAGAAUGCCGGUGUGAGUAGCGAAAGACGGGUGAGAAUCCCGUCCACCGAUUGACUAAGGUUUCCAGAGGAAGGCUCGUCCGCUCUGGGUUAGUCGGGUCCUAAGCUGAGGCCGACAGGCGUAGGCGAUGGAUAACAGGUUGAUAUUCCUGUACCACCUAUAAUCGUUUUAAUCGAUGGGGGGACGCAGUAGGAUAGGCG
rnacentral:rRNA from 1 species